CUCCGUAGCUUUCCUUCUCCUUUAAUUCUGAUAUUGACACCUCCCUUGUGAUUAAUAAAAAAAAAAUACAAACAUUGCCCUGUUAUUUAAUCAUGCAGCAAUAUUAAGAAAUGAUCAUAUUUAUAUUAAGAUACAUGUGAGUGAGAUAAUGCCUUUCAUUUAAACACAGGAAUAAGAACAUGAACAUGAAGAUAUGCCAUGAGAAAGAUGAUUCUGCAUAAUGUUGCAUAUUGUGUUAAAAAAAGGCUUUAGUUCCUCACAUUUUUAUGCAAUCUUUUUGUUCACGCCACUGAAUUAAAGUCUGCAGUUCAACUGCA